rnacentral:rRNA from 1 species
GACGAACGCUGGCGGCGUGCUUAACACAUGCAAGUCGAACGGAAAGGCCCUGCUUUUGUGGGGUGCUCGAGUGGCGAACGGGUGAGUAACACGUGAGUAACCUGCCCUUGACUUUGGGAUAACUUCAGGAAACUGGGGCUAAUACCGGAUAGGAGCUCCUGCUGCACGGUGGGGGUUGGAAAGUUUCGGCGGUUGGGGAUGGACUCGCGGCUUAUCAGCUUGUUGGUGGGGUAGUGGCUUACCAAGGCUUUGACGGGUAGCCGGCCUGAGAGGGUGACCGGCCACAUUGGGACUGAGAUACGGCCCAGACUCCUACGGGAGGCAGCAGUGGGGAAUAUUGCACAAUGAGCGGAAGCCUGAUGCAGCAACGCCGCGUGCGGGAUGACGGCCUUCGGGUUGUAAACCGCUUUCGCCUGUGACGAAGCGUGAGUGACGGUAAUGGGUAAAGAAGCACCGGCUAACUACGUG